rnacentral:rRNA from 1 species
CGGCGGACGGGUGAGUAACACGUGGGUAACCUGCCUGUAAGACUGGGAUAACUCCGGGAAACCGGGGCUAAUACCGGAUGGUUGUUUGAACCGCAUGGUUCAGACAUAAAAGGUGGCUUCGGCUACCACUUACAGAUGGACCCGCGGCGCAUUAGCUAGUUGGUGAGGUAACGGCUCACCAAGGCGACGAUGCGUAGCCGACCUGAGAGGGUGAUCGGCCACACUGGGACUGAGACACGGCCCAGACUCCUACGGGAGGCAGCAGUAGGGAAUCUUCCGCAAUGGACGAAAGUCUGACGGAGCAACGCCGCGUGAGUGAUGAAGGUUUUCGGAUCGUAAAGCUCUGUUGUUAGGGAAGAACAAGUGCCGUUCAAAUAGGGCGGCACCUUGACGGUACCUAACCAGAAAGCCACGGCUAACUACGUGCCAGCAGCCGCGGUAAUACGUAGGUGGCAAGCGUUGUCCGGAAUUAUUGGGCGUAAAGGGCUCGCAGGCGGUUUCUUAAGUCUGAUGUGAAAGCCCCCGGCUCAACCGGGGAGGGUCAUUGGAAACUGGGGAACUUGAGUGCAGAAGAGGAGAGUGGAAUUCCACGUGUAGCGGUGAAAUGCGUAGAGAUGUGGAGGAACACCAGUGGCGAAGGCGACUCUCUGGUCUGUAACUGACGCUGAGGAGCGAAAGCGUGGGGAGCGAACAGGAUUAGAUACCCUGGUAGUCCACGCCGUAAACGAUGAGUGCUAAGUGUUUAGGGGGUUUCCGCCCCUUAGUGCUGCAGCUAACGCAUUAAGCACUCCGCCUGGGGGAGUACGGUCGCAAGACUGAAACUCAAAGGAAUUGACGGGGGCCGCACAAGCGGUGGA